UCUUGAUGUGAUGUCCUUUCUUUAAAAGGAAAAUCUACACAGCACUAUACUAAAAUAUCAUAGUUAAUAUUAAAAUAAACUGUGAUGUGGAAGAAUUAAUUCUGGGCCUAACUUGCUGAAACAUGUGAUUUCUGUAGACCCCUACCAAAUCCCCUUCACCAACUGGCAACAGAAGCAGGACAUCUUCAUUUACAGACCAGAGUGAUGAAGGCACUUUAACACCAGAUAAAGAGUAUGUUUUUCCAGACAAACAGGAGAAGCAAAGGAUUCCCCACAGGAUGUGCCAAGUUAUAUUGGAAGAACAUUAUCAUGCUCUAAAUACAGUGGCUACACUUGGAACGAUCAGAGGGGGAGAGAAGGAGAAAUAAGAUUAAGAAUGGAAACAGUACUAAAGUAAUCUCAGAUUUGCAGUUAUCCCUGGGCUUAGGGAGCUUCUAGAAGAAUUUUAUUUGUGAAAUAUCUUCUGUAAUUAAAAAAUGAGAAAGCAGUUUGCUAAGGAAUAGAAAUCUCCAGUUUUUAGUAAGGACUAUUGUUAUGUCAAAUGGAAAGUUUUACAAAAAUAAAGAUAAAAUAAGACAUGGAAGCUGCUUCAGAUAUUCUUUGUAAAUCUUAACAGAACAGUUAAAAGUAAAUCAUAAUUGGAAUUUGUUUGGUUUGAUUAUUUUUCAUAAAAUUUAGUUCAAUACCAGUAACUAUGCUUGAAAGACAUACGCAUAUAUUUUUAUAUACAUUCUCUCCCUUGUAUUUUAAUGUGCCUCUGAU